GAUGAACGCUAGCGGGAGGCUUAAUACAUGCAAGUUGAACGGUAACAUGAGGGCUUGCCCUUGAUGACGAGUGGCGCACGGGUGAGUAACGCGUACACAACCUACCUAUAAGAGGUGAAUACCCUUUGGAAACGAAGAAUAAUACACCAUGGUAUUAACUGAUCGAUAAUUGGUUAAUUAAAGUUUCGGCGCUUAUAGAUGGGUGUGCGUACUAUUAGCUAGUUGGUAAGGUAACGGCUUACCAAGGCGACGAUAGUUAGGGGGCGUGAGAGCGUGAACCCCCACACGGGUACUGAGACACGGACCCGACUCCUACGGGAGGCAGCAGUAAGGAAUAUUGGACAAUGGGCGAAAGCCUGAUCCAGCCAUCCCGCGUGUAGGAAGACUGCCCUAUGGGUUGUAAACUACUUUUAGAUAGGAAGAACAGUAGAUAUUAAUAUUUAUUUGACGGUACUAUCAGAAUAAGCACCGGCUAACUCCG
rnacentral:rRNA from 1 species